rnacentral:rRNA from 1 species
AGAGUUUGAUCCUGGCUCAGAAUCAACGCUGGCGGCGUGCCUAACACAUGCAAGUCGAACGCGGUUACCUCGCAAGGGGUAACUGAGUGGCGAACGGGUGAGUAACACGUGGGUGACCUACCUUCGAGUGGGGGAUAACGUCCCGAAAGGGACGCUAAUACCGCAUAACAUCCCGCCUUUGAACAGGUGGAGAUCAAAGCCGGGGAUCGCAAGACCUGGCGCUUGAUGAGGGGCCCGCGCCUGAUUAGCUAGUUGGUGGGGUAAUGGCUCACCAAGGCGACGAUCAGUAUCCGGCCUGAGAGGGCGGACGGACACACUGGGACUGAGACACGGCCCAGACUCCUACGGGAGGCAGCAGUGGGGAAUUGUUCGCAAUGGGCGCAAGCCUGACGACGCAACGCCGCGUGGAGGAUGAAGGUCUUCGGAUUGUAAACUCCUGUUGCUCGGGACGAAAAGCUUCGACCUAACACGUCGAAGUCUGACGGUACCGAGUGAGGAAGCCCCGGGCUAACUCUGUGCCAGCAGCCGCGGUAAUACAGAGGGGGCAAGCGUUGUUCGGAAUUACUGGGCGUAAAGGGCGCGUANGCGGCCUGNCUAAGUCGAACGUGAAAUCCCUGGGCUCAACCCAGGAACUGCGUCCGAUACUGGUUGGCUUGAAUCCGGGAGAGGGGAUGUUGGAAUUCCAGGGUGUANCGGGUGAAAUGCGUAGAUAUCG